AAUGGGGGUUAAAGUAUUAUUUAAAGAAAAAAUUUUUAAUUUUAUAGUUAAUUAGUAUUGUGAAAGAAUUUUGAAAUAUUUGAAAAAAAAUUUAUUUUAAAGUAAUUUUUAUUUAUUGUAUCUUGUGUAUCAGAGUUUAUUAAAAAUUUUUAAUUUAUUAUUAAUUUCUCGAAUUUAAAAGAGCUAAUUAAUUAUAUAAAGUUAAUGUAGUAAAAUUAUUUUUAAUAAUUAUUUUGAAAUGAAAUGUUAAUCGUUUUUAAAUAUAUCUAGUUUUUUUAGAAAAAAAUUUAAUUUUAUUUAAUUUUAUUUUAAUUUAAUUAAUUAAUUAAUUAAAUUAAAAAAUAAAUUUAUAUUUUAGGGGAUAAGCUUUAAAAUAAAUUUUUAUAAUAAUUUUUUUUUUAUUGAAAAUUUUAUAAUUUAUAUUGUUAAUAAAUUUUAUUUUAUUAUAAAUAAUUUCAUUUUAAUUAAAAUUUAAAAAUUUAUAUUUAAUUUUUUAUUUAUAAAAAAAAAUUUUUUAAUUUAAAAAAUUUAGUUAUAAUGAUAAAAUUAGUAUAUAAAAUUUAAUAUUUAAUUAAAAAUUAAUUUUUUUUUAAUUUAAAAUUAAUAAAAAGGAAUUCGGCAAAUAAUUAUUUUCACUUGUUUAUCAAAAACAUGUCUUUUUGAAUUUUAUUUAAAGUCUAAUCUGCCCACUGAUUUAAAUUAAAGGGCUGCAGUAUUUUGACUGUACAAAGGUAGCAUAAUCAUUAGUCUCUUAAUUGGUGACUUGUAUGAAAGAUUGAAUGAAAAAUAUACUGUCUCUUUAUUAAUUUGUAGAAUUUAAUUUUUUAUUUAAAAAGUUAAAAUAAUUUAAAAAGACGAGAAGACCCUAUAGAGUUUUAUAAAUAUAAAUUUAUUAAAAAAUUAUUUAUAUUAUAUUUAAAAUUUUUAUGAAUUUAUUUAUUUUAUUGGGGUGAUAAAAAAAUAAAUUUAACUUUUUUUAAUUUAAAAUUAACAAAAAUAAUUGAUUAAUUGAUCCAAUUUUAUUGAUUAAAAGAUUAAAUUACCUUAGGGAUAACAGCGUAAUUUUUUUUUUUAGUUCAAAUAAGAAAAAAAGUUUGCGACCUCGAUGUUGGAUUAAGAUAAAAUUUAAAUGCAAAAGUUUAAAAUUUUGAUCUGUUCGAUCAUUAAAAUCUUACAUGAUCUGAGUUCAAACCGGUGUGAGCCAGGUUGGUUUCUAUCUUUUAAUGUAUAUUAUAUAUAAUAUUUUAGUACGAAAGGAUCAAAUAUUUUAAUUAAAUUAUAAUUUAUUUUUGAAUUUUAUUAAU
rnacentral:rRNA from 1 species